rnacentral:rRNA from 1 species
UUUGAUGGCGACCGGCGCACGGGUGAGUAACACGUAUCCAACCUGCCGAUGACUCGGGGAUAGCCUUUCGAAAGAAAGAUUAAUACCCGAUGGCAUAGUUCUUCCGCAUGGUAGAACUAUUAAAGAAUUUCGGUCAUCGAUGGGAUGCGUUCCAUUAGGUUGUUGGCGGGGUAACGGCCCACCAAGCCUUCGAUGGAUAGGGGUUCUGAGAGGAAGGUCCCCCACAUUGGAACUGAGACACGGUCCAA